rnacentral:rRNA from 1 species
GACGAACGCUGGCGGCGUGCUUAACACAUGCAAGUCGAACGAGAGCGUAGAGAAAGCUUGCUUUUUCUACAAUCUAGUGGCAAACGGGUGAGUAACGCGUAAACAACCUGCCCUACGGAUGGGGACAACAGCUGGAAACGGCUGCUAAUACCGAAUACGUUCCGAAAGUCGCAUGACUAUCGGAAGAAAGGAUGGCCUCUAUUUAUAAGCUAUCGCCGGAGGAGGGGUUUGCGUCUGAUUAGCUAGUUGGAGGGGUAACGGCCCACCAAGGCGACGAUCAGUAGCCGGUCUGAGAGGAUGAACGGCCACAUUGGAACUGAGACACGGUCCAGACUCCUACGGGAGGCAGCAGUGGGGAAUCUUCCGCAAUGGGCGAAAGCCUGACGGAGCAACGCCGCGUGAGUGAAGACGGGCUUCGGGUUGUAAAGCUCUGUUAUACGGGACGAAUAAUCUUGUGGUUAAUACCCAUGAGAAGUGACGGUACCGUAAGAGAAAGCCACGGCUAACUACGUG